rnacentral:rRNA from 1 species
UACGGAGGGUGCAAGCGUUACUCGGAAUCACUGGGCGUAAAGAGCGUGUAGGCGGAUAGAUAAGUCAGAAGUGAAAUCCUAUGGCUCAACCAUAGAACUGCUUUUGAAACUGUCUAUCUAGAGUAUGGGAGAGGUAGAUGGAAUUUCUGGUGUAGGGGUAAAAUCCGUAGAGAUCAGAAGGAAUACCGAUUGCGAAGGCGAUCUACUGGAACAUUACUGACGCUGAGACGCGAAAGCGUGGGGAGCAAACAGG